rnacentral:lncRNA from 1 species
UAAUAUUUCAGAAGUUGACAAAAAAAGAAAAUAAAAAGAAAAAAAGAAAAUAGAAAAAGAAAAAAACGAAUGAAAAAAUAGAAGAAUGUCAAUACAUACUCCUUUUGAAAAAGAAAAAAGGAAUAAAAAGAGAAAGGAGAAUAGAAAACAAUUGUUAUAGAGUUAUUGAAGUGAAUGAAAUCUUUUGUAAAUUCAACUCCCGUAGUUUUUUUCAAGUCUCUUUUGUCUCUUUGAAUUUUAGCCUAG